GACGAACGCUGGCGGCGUGCUUAACACAUGCAAGUCGAACGGAAAGGCCCUGCUUUUGUGGGGUGCUCGAGUGGCGAGCGGGUGAGUAACACGUGAGUAACCUGCCCUUGACUUUGGGAUAACUUCAGGAAACUGGGGCUAAUACCGGAUAGGAGCUCCUGCUGCAUGGUGGGGGUUGGAAAGUUUCGGCGGUUGGGGAUGGACUCGCGGCUUAUCAGCUUGUUGGUGGGGUAGUGGCUUACCAAGGCUUUGACGGGUAGCCGGCCUGAGAGGGUGACCGGCCACAUUGGGACUGAGAUACGGCCCAGACUCCUACGGGAGGCAGCAGUGGGGAAUAUUGCACAAUGGGCGGAAGCCUGAUGCAGCAACGCCGCGUGCGGGAUGACGGCCUUCGGGUUGUAAACCGCUUUCGCCUGUGACGAAGCGUGAGUGACGGUAAUGGGUAAAGAAGCACCGGCUAACUACGUGCCAGCAGCCGCGGUGAUACGUAGGGUGCGAGCGUUGUCCGGAUUUAUUGGGCGUAAAGGGCUCGUAGGUGGUUGAUCGCGUCGGAAGUGUAAUCUUGGGGCUUAACCCUGAGCGUGCUUUCGAUACGGGUUGACUUGAGGAAGGUAGGGGAGAAUGGAAUUCCUGGUGGAGCGGUGGAAUGCGCAGAUAUCAGGAGGAACACCAGUGGCGAAGGCGGUUCUCUGGGCCUUUCCUGACGCUGAGGAGCGAAAGCGUGGGGAGCGAACAGGCUUAGAUACCCUGGUAGUCCACGCUGUAAACGGUGGGUACUAGGUGUGGGGUCCAUUCCACGGGUUCCGUGCCGUAGCUAACGCUUUAAGUACCCCGCCUGGGGAGUACGGCCGCAAGGCUAAAACUCAAAGGAAUUGACGGGGCCCCGCACAAGCGGCGGAGCAUGCGGAUUAAUUCGAUGCAACGCGUAGAACCUUACCUGGGUUUGACAUGGAUCGGGAGUGCUCAGAGAUGGGUGUGCCUCUUUUGGGGUCGGUUCACAGGUGGUGCAUGGCUGUCGUCAGCUCGUGUCGUGAGAUGUUGGGUUAAGUCCCGCAACGAGCGCAACCCUUGUUCACUGUUGCCAGCACGUUAUGGUGGGGACUCAGUGGAGACCGCCGGGGUCAACUCGGAGGAAGGUGGGGAUGACGUCAAGUCAUCAUGCCCCUUAUGUCCAGGGCUUCACGCAUGCUACAAUGGCUGGUACAGAGAGUGGCGAGCCUGUGAGGGUGAGCGAAUCUCGGAAAGCCGGUCUCAGUUCGGAUUGGGGUCUGCAACUCGACCUCAUGAAGUCGGAGUCGCUAGUAGUCGCAGAUCAGCAACGCUGCGGUGAAUACGUUCCCGGGGCU
rnacentral:rRNA from 1 species